AUCUUCAUAGCACUCCCAAAAGCACCACCGAGAACUUGUCCCACCCACCUGCUCCAUGCACGCCAAUCCAAGAAAUGAGGUAGUAAAACCACCAUAAGCAAGUUGCCCACUCCAGCUUUCAAGUAUGCAGUAAGCUCAUUUUGAAAGCAAGGACAAUCCGAUUGAUACUCUAUAACUUUAGAAUGGACAGAUGCAGAACUUGGUGAUAUUAUAAACACAUUAAAAGAGAACAUUGCAAUGGCAAAAUCAAGCUCUCAAAUAUCAAAGUUUAGACUGUCGUCAGAGUUAGGUUGUCUGUGCAACCUGGAUUGUUCCCUCCGGAGUUAAUGUGUCAUUUAAAAAGGCUAGAGGUCAAAAUGAGUUACAGGAAGGGAUAUAAAAGGUGGCUUCUGGGGUAGAGGCAUGCUCAGUGGGAACUGAUGCCUGGUGUAUGCUUUUCAGCUGUGCUUCUGGAGCACCACAGAAGCAGUGUAGAUAGAUCUACCCAAAGUAAGCUGACAACUUCUAAACUGUACAAAAAUAAACUGUAUAAAUUGACCUUCACUGGUGAAUAUCAGAAUGACUAACAAACAUAAGCCUUUAUACACCGUGGGUGUGUGUCUGGGAGAGGACUCUUGCACAAGGAACAGAAGCAAACAAGUGGUGCUCUUUUAAGAUGUCUGUGGCAGUGAGACCCGGUGUUUUAACCUCAUUUCCAUUCACAAGUUGAUGAUUGACUGACCUUGAGAUCAAAUGCCUGUUUCUAUAUUCAGCCACAAUAAAGACUUUCUUAGA